rnacentral:rRNA from 1 species
GACAGAGGGUGCAAACGUUGCUCGGAAUUACUGGGCGUAAAGCGCGUGUAGGCGGGUACAUAAGUCAGAUGUGAAAUCCCUGGGCUCAACCUAGGAACUGCAUUUGAAACUGCGUAUCUAGAGUAGUGGAGAGGAUUGUGGAAUUCCUGGUGUAGAGGUGAAAUUCGUAGAUAUCAGGAGGAACACCGGUGGCGAAGGCGGCAAUCUGGACACUUACUGACGCUGAGACGCGAAAGCGUGGGGAGCAAACAGG